rnacentral:rRNA from 1 species
UACGGGGGGGGCAAGCGUUGUUCGGAAUUACUGGGCGUAAAGGGCUCGUAGGCGGCCAACUAAGUCGGAUGUGAAAUCCCCAGGCUUAACUUGGGAACUGCAUCCGAUACUGGAUGGCUUGAAUCCGGGAGAGGGAUGCGGAAUUCCAGGUGUAGCGGUGAAAUGCGUAGAUAUCUGGAGGAACACCGGUGGCGAAGGCGCAUCCUGGACCGGCAUUGACGCUGAUGAGCGAAAGCCAGGGGAGCAAAACGGGG